UACGUAGGGGGCAAGCGUUUGUCCGGAAUUAUUGGGCGUAAAGAGCGUGUAGGCGGUCCGGUAAGUCAGCUGUGAAAGUCAAGGGCUCAACCCUUGAAUGCCGGUUGAUACUGCUGUGGCUAGAGUCCGGUAGGGGAGCAUGGAAUUCCUGGUGUAGCGGUGAAAUGCGCAGAUAUCAGGAGGAACACCAGUGGCGAAGGCGGUGCUCUGGGCCGGAACUGACGCUGAGGAGCGAAAGCGUGGGGAGCAAACAGG
rnacentral:rRNA from 1 species